GGGGCUGUAGCUCAGUUGGGAGAGCGCCUGCUUUGCAAGCAGGAGGUCGUCGGUUCGAUCCCGUCCAGCUCCA
rnacentral:tRNA from 1 species